rnacentral:rRNA from 1 species
UACGUAGGGUGCGAGCGUUGUCCGGAAUUAUUGGGCGUAAAGAGCUCGUAGGCGGUGAAUCGGGUUGAAAGUGAAAGUCGCCAAAAAGUGGCGGAAUGCUCUCGAAACCAAUUCACUUGAGUGAGACAGAGGAGAGUGGAAUUUCGUGUGUAGGGGUGAAAUCCGUAGAUCUACGAAGGAACGCCAAAAGCGAAGGCAGCUCUCUGGGUCCCUACCGACGCUGGGGUGCGAAAGCAUGGGGAGCGAACAGG